UGAGCAAUCUGCCCUUCUCAUCGGAAUAAGCGUUGGAAACGACGUCUAAUGCCGAAUACGACCUCCUUUCGCAUGAUCGGAGGNGGAAAAGCUCCGGCGGAGAAGGAUGAGCUCGCGGCCUAUCAGCUAGUUGGUGUGGGUAAUGGCCCACCAAGGCGACGACGGGUAGCCGGCCUGAGAGGGUGACCGGCCACACUGGGACUGAGACACGGCCCAGACUCCUACGGGAGCAG
rnacentral:rRNA from 1 species